rnacentral:rRNA from 1 species
CAUGCAGUCGAGCGGAUGAGAAGAGCUUGCUCUUCGAUUCAGCGGCGGACGGGUGAGUAAUACCUAGGAAUCUGCCUGGUAGUGGGGGACAACGUUUCGAAAGGAACGCUAAUACCGCAUACGUCCUACGGGAGAAAGCAGGGGACCUUCGGGCCUUGCGCUAUCAGAUGAGCCUAGGUCGGAUUAGCUAGUUGGUGAGGUAAUGGCUCACCAAGGCUACGAUCCGUAACUGGUCUGAGAGGAUGAUCAGUCACACUGGAACUGAGACACGGUCCAGACUCCUACGGGAGGCAGCAGUGGGGAAUAUUGGACAAUGGGCGAAAGCCUGAUCCAGCCAUGCCGCGUGUGUGAAGAAGGUCUUCGGAUUGUAAAGCACUUUAAGUUGGGAGGAAGGGCAGUAAGCGAAUACCUUGCUGUUUUGACGUUACCGACAGAAUAAGCACCGGCUAACUCUGUGCCAGCAGCCGCGGUAAUACAGAGGGUGCAAGCGUUAAUCGGAAUUACUGGGCGUAAAGCGCGCGUAGGUGGUUCGUUAAGUUGGAUGUGAAAUCCCCGGGCUCAACCUGGGAACUGCAUCCAAAACUGGCGAGCUAGAGUAGGGCAGAGGGUGGUGGGAAUUUCCUGUGUAGCGGGUGAAAAUGCGUAAAUAUAAGAAGGAACACCAUAGGGCGAAAGGGGACCCCCUGAGCUCCUACUGACAC